rnacentral:piRNA from 1 species
UGAUCUGUCAGGUGAGUUUGGAGUGGCC